ensembl:lncRNA
UGAAAGCCGAGCGCUCGGUGAACCCGGGAGACAUUCCAAGCGGAUCCCAGUCGUUGCGUGCGGAGAGUCUCUCUCCCAUUGCAUACCUGUUGCCCAUUCACCUCCCUGGGCUCCACCAGGCUGUCCAGGCCAGGAGAAGGCUGUCAAAGCAUCCGGCGGGUUCAGGUCAGCCAUGGAACCAAGGCUCAUGGUCCGCAGCGGAUGGCGGAGCGGAAGGACACUACGCUUGUCAGUUCUGUGAAAAGAGUGAUUUCUGUUUCCUGACUCAUGAAAUGGCUGUGAGUGCCCACCCUCAGAAUAGAACACUGUGCUCUGACUGUGGUUGUUCUCAGCCUUUCACUGUGGGAUCUACCACACCUUCCAGAGGGACCCCUAAGUCUCUUUGUUUCCGUAGUCGAGGAACCUCUUGGGAAGAGUGGCGUCAGUCGGACUCGACUCCACCUCCAUCAACAAACGGACGCCCGGAAACAGACCAUAGCAUCUCUGCGGCGUCUCUCAGAGUUUUCAAAACGCCCCGCCCUGAUGAGGCGGUUCUGGGCGAGCAGCACAGCGGCGUAGGGGUGAUACGGAGCUGAGGACGCAGGUCUGGAGGGAAAUAUAGUCCCGUGAAUUUCUAGCGAAGCGCGUUGACUGUUCAUUCUGUCAGUGUGUUUUGGGGAAUCUAUGUGAGCCGGGGCGUCAGCCACUGGCAAUUGUGGGUUGCAGCCCAGGGUAAAACAUUUCUACUAACAAUGAGAAGCUUCUUUGAAAAAAGUUUAAGUAACUUAAAUAGAAAAAGAAAAAUAGAAUGUGUAAACACAAGGAAUAUUCGUUGAUAUGAAUAACAACGUAGUUAAUUGGACUUAAUCGAGUCGAGGCGGUGAGUUGCCCGGCCACACACCAACUCAGAUCAGCUGGAACACGUCAGGCUCCCUUGAUGAGGUAUAAAGUACCUCCCUGACAGCUAAAGGAUGUUAGUAGCUGAACCUCUGGUUGGUCAGCUGAAUCAACAACACAUAACCUUGAGCAGUCUAUCUCUUCACAUGAGGACCUCCCCUUCACUGUGUGCCGGCAAUGGACUCCGUAUGUUCUAAAUAUGCAAAUGCACACCAACUAGCCUACGUGCAAGCCUGGCAAUUUGCUGGAUAGAAGCCAUUGGUUAUUAUAUUUUUUUCCACUAACUGAACAAUGGCUUUGGCGUUCAGUGUUCCUUUACUGAUGUUUCCAAUUAGCACUAAGUAAGAUAAAUCUGUGAAUAAAAACUCAACAAGUAUUGGGAUUAGAUCCAAUAUUCUACGCAAAUGAAAUGUUGAUCAUGGUAUGAUAAUUAUUUAGGGAUCAAUAACAAAUCAAUCUUUUUGAUGAAUGAUGGAAGCUGAACUGCAUCUGUGAAAACAGUUAAUUUUUGUCCUUUUUUAGCUGAGAAUGCUGAAGGAUAGAGAAGGGGGACAUUUUCUUUUAAUAAUAAAUAAUGUGGGUUUUUAAAUGUGAUUUAGACAUUUUUAAGGAGCCAUUUGAAAGCGGACAAUUACAGUUGUAAUUUGGAUUCACAUUUAAUUUUAGGUCAUAACAGAAUGGCACAAUCAUUUUUUUUUACUGACCCCUGUUCAAAAGUCUGCAUACCCUUAGUUCUUAAUACUGUGUAUUGCCCCCUUUAGCAUCACUGCCAGCAUGCAGUCUUUUGUAAUAGUUGUCUAUGAGGCCCCGAAUUCUUGCAGGUGGUAUAGCUACCCUUGGCAAAAUGCCUCCAGGUCAUUCAAAGUCUUUGGUCGUCAUGCAUGAACCGCAUGUUUGAGAUCUCCCCAGGGUGGCUCAAUGAUAUUAAGGCCAGGAGACUGUGAUGGCCAUUCCAGAACCUUCACCUUUUUCUGCUGUAACCACUGGAGGGUCAACUUGGCCUUGUGCUUAGGGUCAUUGUCGUGCUUAAAAGUCCAAGAGCGUCCCAUGCGCAGCUUUCGUGCAGAAUAAUGCAAAUUGUCUGCCAGUAUUUUCUGAUAACAUGCUGCAGUCAUCUUGCUAAAAAUGUUCACAAGAUUUCCAGUGCCUCUAGAGCUCACACCCCAAAAACAUCAGUGAGCCACCACCAUGCUUCACAGUGGGGAUGGUAUUCUGUUCACUAUAGGACUUGUUGACCCCUCUCCAAACAUAGUGCUUAUGGUUGUGACCAUAAAAUACAGUGUGCCAGAAGCUGUGAGGCAUGUCAAGGUGUUGUCGGGCAUAUUGUAACCAAGCUUUUCUGUAGCAUUGGCGCAGUAAAGGCUUAUUUCUGGCAACUCGAUCCUUGCAGCUAAUUUUUGUUCAAGUAUCGUCGUAUUGUGCUCCAUGAAACAACCACACCGCCUUUUUCCAGAGCAGCCUGUAUUUCUCCUGAGGUUACCUGUGGGUCCCAAACUAUUCUUCUGGCAGUUUUGUCUGAAAUUUUUCUUGAUCUACCUGACCUUGGCUUGGUAUCAAGAAAUCCCUGAAUGUUCCACUUUUAAUACGUGAUUGAACAGUACUGACUGGCAUUUGCAAGGCUUUGGAUAUCUUUUUAUAUCCUUUUUCAUCUUUAUAAAGUUCAAUUACCUUGUUACGCCGGUCUUUUGACAGUUCUUUUCUGCUCCCCAUGGCUCUGUAUCUAGCCUGCUCAGUGCAUCCACAAACUCAUUGACUAUUUAUACACAGACACAGAUUGUAAUUAAAAAUUCACCUUUAAUUGCCAUUUUCACCUUUGCGUGUCACCUUGUGUCUCUGUAAGGCCAAACAUUCAAGGGUAUGUAUACUUUUGAUCAGGGCCAUUUGGGUGAUUUCUGUUAUCAUUAUGAUUUAAAAAGGAGCCAAACAACUAUGUGAUAAUAAAUUGAUUUAUAUGAUCACUAUCUUUAAAUAAAAUACUUUCAAUAAAAGAUUUUCAAAAUCAAUGCCAAAAUUUCAACAAUUUCUGCCAGGGUAUGCAAACGUUUG